UUGAAGGUCUGGUUCUCCUAUUCAGCAUAAAACAGCGUCGUUUUGGUUAAAUAAAAAAAAAAAAAACGCGUUGAAAGCCCCCAAUCCCCUCUCCCUUCUAUCUCACUCUCAGUAUUCACCAAAAUGGCGAAAUCCCUAACCCUAUCAGAGCAAACAGUCGCCGCUACUCUGUCCACGCCGUCGUCAGCCACCUCUUUCUCAUCAUCAAAACGCCUCUGUCUCCGAGCCAUCUCUCUCUGUGUUGAGCACCACUCUCAGUGCGUAAUGCGAACGUACCCGUGCCGCCCUGGACUCUUUGCCGUCGCCAUGGCCGAUCCGUCACUCACUUAAAAAUCCAAGAUCUCAUCGCCAUCACUUCCUUUCUCCCUCGCUGCCGGCUGAAAUUGAAGGAGCAUAUGCAGUACUGCAUUGAUCACCCUGAGGAGAUAAGCAAGUUUGCCAAGGUUCAGAAAAAGGUCUCUGAAAUUAAGGGUGUCAUGAUCAAGAAUAUUGAAAAGGCUGUAGAAACGUGAGAACUUUGUUUCAGUUAGAUAUGCAGUAUUAUUUUUUCCAUAGUAUCUGUUGAUUUGGUUUUGAAACUUUAAUCAAAAUAAAAUAGGAAACUUUAAUUUUGCAUGUAGCUUAGCCAACUAAUUUAGAAAAAAGGAAGCCUUUGGACUUUGGAGGAAUAGGGCCAGGUGGAGCAAGGAAAAUUUGGUAUAUUUAAAAUUAUGUAUUGAAUUUUUAUAUAAUUUUAGUGUAUAUUUAAUUAAA